UACAGAGGGUGCAAGCGUUAAUCGGAAUUACUGGGCGUAAAGCGUGCGUAGACGGUUAUUUAAGUCAGGUGUGAAAGCCCCGGGCUCAACCUGGGAAUUGCAUUUGAGACUGAAUAGCUAGGGUGCGGAAGAGGGAAGCGGAAUUUCCGGUGUAGCGGUGAAAUGCGUAGAUAUCGGAAGGAACACCAGUGGCGAAAGCGGCUUCCUGGUCCAGUACCGACGUCAGGCACGAAAGCGUGGGGAGCAAACAGG
rnacentral:rRNA from 1 species